rnacentral:rRNA from 1 species
CAGAGGGUGCGAGCGUUGUUCGGAAUUACUGGGCGUAAAGCGCGCGCAGGCGGCUCUUUAAGUCUAUGGGUGAAAGACCGGGGCUCAACCCCGUGUCAGCCCGGGAUACUGGGGGAGCUAGGGACAUGUAGGGGCGAGCGGAAUUCCGGGUGUAGCGGUGGAAUGCGUAGAGAUCCGGAAGAACACCGGGGGCGAAGGCGGCUCGCUGGGCAUGGUCCGACGCUGAGGCGCGAAAGCGUGGGGAGCGAACAGGAUUAGAUACCCUGGUAGUCCACGCCGUAAACGAUGGGCACUAGAGGCGGGGGGGAUCGGCCCCUUCCGUCUCGCAGCUAACGCGUUAAGUGCCCCGCCUGGGGAGUACGGCCGCAAGGCUG